UAUUUUUCAAAAAUUGUUGGUGUAAAAAAAUGUUGAGCCAUAAUGUUGUUGAAUGUAAAAAGUUGAAAAAAAUGUUUGUGUGUGUGUAAAAAUACGUUAAGCCAUAAUGUUGUUCGAUGUAAAAAAAAGUUGAAGAAAAAUGUUGGUGCAUAUAAAAAAUGUUGAUCAACUUAAUAAAUGUUGGUGACGAUUAAACCCAGUUUCAAAGAAAAUGUUGACAAAUGUAAAGAAAUGUCGGUGAAUGUCAAAAAAAUGUUAAAGAAAAAUGUUGAGCUAUAAUGUUGGUGAUGUAAAAAAAAGUUAACGAAAAAAUAUUCAGAAAGAAAAAUGUUGGUCAACAUCAAUAAAAUGUUGGUGUAUUAAAAAAAGUUCAAAAAUAAUUUAAUUCAAAAUAUGAUCAAGUGUGAUUUUGAUUUGUAGAUCUCAUCAUA
rnacentral:lncRNA from 1 species